rfam:Gossypium arboreum cultivar AKA8401 contig_19993_5, whole genome shotgun sequence.
UUUGAGAGAGUGUUUUGUUCACGUCAGCACAAAGCGUUUCCUUGAGGGCGCGCUUUGUGUUGACGUGGACAAAACGCUCCCCCAAGG